AGUGAACGCUGGCGGCAGGCCUAACACAUGCAAGUCGAGCGGCUGAACAGUACUAGCUUCUGGAUUCAGCGGCGGAGUGGUGAGUAAUGCCUGAGAACCUGGGUAGUAAUGUUGGAGAGGGGCAGGACGUGGGGGAUAUUACGGCAUAAGCCCUGAGGGAGUAAGGGGGAAAUCUUGGGAUCUCCCGAUCUCGCAUGAGUGUAUGUCGCGAUGUCGGAUUAGCUAGUUGGAGGGGUAAAGGCCCACCAAGGCGAAGAUGCGUAGCUGGUCUGAGAGGAUGAUCAGUCACACUGGAACUGAGACACGGUCCAGACUCCUACGGGAGGCAGCAGUGGGGAAUAUUGGACAAUGGGCGAAAGCCUGAUCCAGCCAUACCGCGUGUGUGAAGAAGGUCUUCGGAUUGUAAAGCACUUUUAGUUGGGAAGAAAAGCAGUAAGUUAAUACCUUGCUGUUUUGACGUUACCAACAGAAUAAGCACCGGCUAACUUCGUG
rnacentral:rRNA from 1 species